GCUGCAGGAACCGCCCGAACGGGACGGAGGGGAGGAGCAGAAAAUCACCCUCGUUACCGACGAAGAGUAAAACCACCCUUCCAAAGCGCGCUUGCUCUUGGUAUCGCGCGGCGACUGCAAAUCUAACCUGCGGCGGACCCGAGAGCGCGCUUGGGUCACGCUCUUUCGUCUGAGUCAGACAUUACCACCUCUGUCUAGAAUGGAGGACCUCAAGGAAAGAACUCGAGAGCCCUCGGUAAGUUCUUGUAUCCAUCUUUUAUUCCCUUUGCUAUGCUAAAUCCUGCUAGUGGGACCCAGCAAAGGAGAACGGCUGGCCCACCUUCUGUGCGACUGGACCGGACUCCUCAAGGGUUGAGUCCCCGCUUUCUUCACUUUUUUACGUCCCUAGAGCCCAGCCCAGUGCCCAGCACAUGAGAAAGACGUAAUAGUGGCUGAAAGAACGAAGGUCCUCAGAGAUGAUCACAAGGUGACUAUAUUAAACUGUGCUCUGCUUGCUAGUCCGAAGUGCUCCGCUCUACCCUGGCUGGUCCAACUAAUCAUCAUUAAACAGUGAGAGGAGAAGUCAUCCCUUAAGCUAAAUCCUAAGCUCCACGAGGACAAGGCCUCUGUUUUUCAAAGAUGCAUCCCUGAAGCACCUGGGUGGCUCAGUCGGUUAAGCGUCCAAAACUCUUGAUUUCGGUUUCAGGUCGUGAUCUCACGGUUCGCAAACGAGCCUUAAGUCGGGCUCUGCGCUGCCAGCGCGGAGCCUGCUUGGGAUCCUCUUUCUCCCCCUCUCUCUGCCCCUCCCCUGCUAGCGCUCUCGCUCUCUCUCUCAAAAUAAAUAAACUUAAAAAAAAAGACACAGCCCUAACACCUCCUACAACACAGGAGGCAAUUCAGUAAGAACGGGGGAAAUGAAUGGGCAGGGUGGGUAAACUCAGCGCCUAAGAAGGGAACGAAGCAAUUGUUUGUAAACCGAUUGCUGCCUGGUGGAAAACAGGGCGCGAUCUAGCUCUGUUACCAGUCCCCCUCUCUCCCUGGACGAAUAUGAUCGAGGCUGAUGCGAUUUUUCUUCCCUUUCACUACUCCAGGACCAAGAGAAGCAGGAAAAAAGGCAAAGAAACGUACUCUGAAGAUUUCAAACAAGUUCUGAGAGAAUGAUGCCGUUACGAGAGGUACUACGUUGGAUACUGGAAACGCAGGGACGAAAGACACACGAUCCCUCCUCUUAAUGAGUACUUUCCACCAGAAAAGACCAGAAAAUCACCAGUAGCCAUAGGAUACUAUGCAGAGAUAUGCACAAACUGCCAUGGGAACACAGAGGAGGAAGACUGAGUCAGACCAGGGAGAUCAGAGAAGACUUCCUAAAACAGUCUUUUGUUUGACCUGAGACUCGACAGGUAAGAGUGAAGGCAGAGGUUUGAAGAUAUAGGUAACAACAUCUGGAAAACCAUCAAGCCAAGAAAGAGCACAGCAUUUCUGGAAAUUAUAAAUAUUUCGUUAUGUGCGGGGGGAGUUAGAGGGAGUGACAAGAAACGAAGCUAGGAAGGUAGGCUCAGGCUGGCGAGGUAGAAAGGUAUCAGAUCAUGAAGGGCUUGGUAUAUUAAAAUUAGGAGAGUCUGAACUUCGGUUCGCAAACAAAGUUGAUGUCUCCUCCACUGUUCCAUUUCUAGCACCUAGCACAGUGCCUGACAUAGUAAGUACUCCAAAAUAUGAAGAGACGAACGAUGAGCGCCUAACAGAUUACAGGAAGCCAUUGAAGAGUAUUAAGCAGAACACACAGACACAAAUCUACAGUUGAAACUAUUCUUUUAAAUGGUGCCGACAUGGGGCACCUGGGUGGCUCAUUCGGUUGAGCGUCCGACUUCGGCUCAGGUCACGAUCUCGCGGUUCGUGGGGUCGAGCCCCGCGUCGGGCUCUGGGCGGACAGCUCAGAGCCU